ACACGACUACAUUAGACUACCCCCGUAGUCCCAGCCGUAAACUAUGCGCGUUAGGUGUAUCGGUGACCACGAGUCACCGAGGUGCCGAAGGGAAACCGUGAAACGUGCCGCCUGGGAAGUACGGCCGCAAGGCUGAAACUUAAAGGAAUUGGCGGGGGAGCACAACAACGGGUGGAGCCUGCGGUUUAAUUGGACUCAACGCCGGACAACUCACCGGGGACGACAGCAAUAUGUAGGCCAGGCUGAAGACCUUGCCUGAAUCGCUG
rnacentral:rRNA from 1 species